GAUGAACGCUGGCGGCGUGCCUAAUACAUGCAAGUAGAGCGAUCGGACGAGAAGCUUGCUUCUCUGAUAUUAGUGGCGGACGGGUGAGUAACACGUGGAUAACCUACCUAUAAGACUGGGAUAACUUCGGGAAACCGGAGCUAAUACCGGAUAAUAUUGUGAAUCGCAUGGCUCAAAAGUGAAAGACGGUCUUGCUGUCACAUAUAGAUGGCCCCGCUUUUCAUUAGUUGGAUGGGAAGGUACGGCCUUACUAAGGCAACAGUGAAUACCGGACUUGAGAGGGUGUGCGGCAACACUGGAACUGAACCACGGUCCAGCCUCCUACGGGAGGCACCGUAAGGAAAUCUUGCAAAAUGGGCGAAAGCCUAACGGAGCAACGCGCGGUGGGUGAUAAAGGUUUACGGUUCGAAAGACUCGGUUAAUAGCGAGGAACAUAUGUAGAGGUAACUGUGCACAACGUGACGGUACCUAAUCAGAAAGCCACGGCUAACUACGUG
rnacentral:rRNA from 1 species